GAUGAACGCUGGCGGCGGGCUUAACACAUGCAAGUCGAACGGAAAGGCCCUGCUUUUGUGGGGUUCUCGGGUGGCGAACGGGUGAGUAACACGUGAGUAACCUGCCCUUGACUUUGGGAUAACUUCAGGAAACUGGGGCUAUUACCGGAUAGGAGCUCCUGCUGCAUGGUGGGGGUCGGAAUGGUUCGGCGGUUGUGGAUGGACUCGCGGCUGAUCAGCUUGUUGGUCGGGUAGUGGCUUACCAAGGCUUUGACGGGUAGCCGGCCUGAGAGGGUGACCGGCAACAGUGGGACUGACAUACGGCCCAGACUCCUACGGGAGGCAGCAGUGUGGAAUAUUGCACAAUGGGCGGAAGCCUGAUGCAGCAACGCCGCGUGAGGGAUGACGGCCUUCGUGUUGUAAACCGCUUUCGCCUGUGACGAAGCGUGAGUGACGGUAAUGGGUAAAGAAGCACCGGCUAACUACGUG
rnacentral:rRNA from 1 species